rnacentral:rRNA from 1 species
UACGUAGGGGGCAAGCGUUGUCCGGAAUUAUUGGGCGUAAAGAGCGCGUAGGCGGUCCGAUAAGUCGGCUGUGAAAGUCAGGGGCUCAACCCUUGAAAGCCGGCCGAUACUGUCGGACUAGAGUCCGGAAGAGGCAAGUGGAAUUCCCGGUGUAGCGGUGAAAUGCGCAGAUAUUGGGAGGAACACCAGCGGCGAAGGCGGCACUCUGGGCUGGUACUGACGCUGAGGAGCGAAAGCGUGGGUAGCGAACAGG